UACAGAGGUCUCAAGCGUUGUUCGGAUUCAUUGGGCGUAAAGGGUGCAUAGGCGGCGCGGUAAGUCGGGUGUGAAAUCUCGGAGCUUAACUCCGAAACUGCAUUCGAUACUGCCGUGCUUGAGGACUGGAGAGGAGACUGGAAUUUACGGUGUAGCAGUGAAAUGCGUAGAUAUGCGGAGGAACACCGAUGGCGAAGGCAAUCCCCUGGGCCGGCACUGACGCUCAUGCACGAAAGCGUGGGGAGCAAACAGG
rnacentral:rRNA from 1 species